CUGGUGAGUACAAGGUGAAUAACGUGCCUCAGAGUGGGGGAUAACUUCGCGAAAGCGGAGCUAAUACCGCAUGGUCUCCUUAGCUUGCGGGCUGGGGAGUAAAGCAGCAAUGCGCUUUGAGAUCGGUUCACCUCCCAUUAGCUUGUUGGUGGGGUAACGGCCCACCAAGGCCGCGAUGGGUAGCUGGUCUGAGAGGAUGGUCAGCCACACUGGGACUGAGAUACGGCCCAGACUCCUACGGGGGGCAGCAGUCUAGAGGCUUCGACAAUGCCCGAAAGGGUGAUCGAGCGACGCCGCGUGCGGGAUGAAGGGCUUCGGCUUGUAAACCGCUUUUCUUUGGGAAGAAGGCCUGGUUCGUGAAAUCAGGAUUGACGGUACCAGGGGAAUAAGCCCCGGAUAACUCCGUGCCAGCACCCGCGGUAAGACGGAGGGGGCAAGCGUAGUUCGGAAUUAUAGGGCGUAAAGGGCUCGUAGGCGGAUCCGACAGUCUGACGUGAAAUCUCCAACGAUCACCGGGGAGGGGCCGUUGGAUACUACGGAUCUGGAGUUCGGCAGAGGACCAUGGAAUUUCGGGUGUA
rnacentral:rRNA from 1 species